rnacentral:hammerhead_ribozyme from 1 species
AUCCAGCUGACGAGUCCCAAGUAGGACGAAACGCGUGUCCUGGUU